AUUGAACGCUGGCGGCAGGCUUAACACAUGCAAGUCGAGCGGGGUGAUGGUGCUUGCACUAUCAUUUAGCGGCGGACGGGUGAGUAAUGCUUAGGAAUCUGCCUAUUAGUGGGGGACAACAUCUCGAAAGGGAUGCUAAUACCGCAUACGUCCUACGGGAGAAAGCAGGGGAUCACUUGUGACCUUGCGCUAAUAGAUGAGCCUAAGUCGGAUUAGCUAGUUGGUGGGGUAAAGGCCUACCAAGGCGACGAUCUGUAGCGGGUCUGAGAGGAUGAUCCGCCACACUGGGACUGAGACACGGCCCAGACUCCUACGGGAGGCAGCAGUGGGGAAUAUUGGACAAUGGGGGGAACCCCGAUCCAGCCAUGCCGCGUGUGUGAAGAAGGCCUUAUGGUUGUAAAGCACUUUAAGCGAGGAGGAGGCUCUUUUGGUUAAUACCCAAGAUGAGUGGACGUUACUCGCAGAAUAAGCACCGGCUAACUCUGUGCCAGCCGCCGCGGUAA
rnacentral:rRNA from 1 species